rnacentral:rRNA from 1 species
UACAGAGGGGGCAAGCGUUAUUCGGAAUUAUUGGGCGUAAAGGGCGCGUAGGCGGCUUGGCAAGUGGAUGGUGAAAUCCCCCGGCUUACCCGGGGAACUGCAUCCCAUACUGCUGGACUUGAGUGCGGGAGAGGAUGGAGGAAUUCCUGGUGUAGCGGUGAAAUGCGUAGAUAUCAGGAGGAACACCUGUGGCGAAGGCGUCCAUCUGGCCCGUUACUGACGCUGAGGCGCGAAAGCUAGGGGAGCAAACGGG